AUCGGAUUUCUGGAACAAGAAACUUCGGAUGAAAAAAUGUUAUACCACAUUUUUUUCUUAUUUUUUCACGUAGAAUCAGCCCCGCCCGGUUGUGCUACGAUCAUCAUGUCACCCUGUAUGUAUAUUAUGCCGCACAAAUGACAAAUUGGGGAUUUUGAACCAAUAAGGAUAUAGCUUUAAUAUCUAUUAAAUGUAGAGACUAAAAUUCAGUGAUUCUAAAUCUAUUUACUUGUUUUGUGCCUCGAACAGUCUUAGUUUUUCACUUUUAACUAAAAAGCGAAAAUAACAGUUAUUAAUGUUUUUCGAUGUUAUAUCCACGCUCCGUUUUAGAAAUGUUAAGAUCGGUACUUUAAGAUGUUAAGAAAUGUUAAGUUGGUAUGAUUGCUAGUUCCUACAAGCUAAGUUGGUACGACUCUAACGACGCUCUUUUGUCUUAGGAGUCGACCACGUGUUAAUUACGUAAAUGUAUCCGGUGUGUUCAGACGUUUUGUACGAGGUGGCGAAAUAUAGAAAGUAAAAUAGAAUCUGUGUGAAUCUAUUAAAUAUCAACCCCAAACCUAUAUUAAAUAACAUAAGAUCCAAAAGGCUUAUUGUUUGCUUCAAGAAGAUUUCUUCCACGAAGAGUUGUCAUUUACGGUUUCAGCACUUAUAAAAAUAAGUAUUAUACAUAUAUAUGUAUGUAUAUAUGGAAACAUUCACUGCAGGAAGCUGUUUGAAGGAAGCUGUCAUAUCAUAGUUUUGUCGUAGCUACAAGAACAUGGCAUGGAACUACACAGAUUUUGUCAUGAAUUGUAUAACUGCUUCAAUGUAAAGGCAUUAAAUUUAUUUCUAUACCUACAUUGUUUUUAUUGGAAGAGGAAGAAAGUUCAACCAAAUUACUGGAAAGUGAUGUUGCCUUCUUAUUGCAGCAAUGUCUUCAAUUAUCAUCAGUUAUCGAAAAUAUUCUUCAAAAUGUGUAAGAAUAACCAGAUGAGCUCGAUUCGAGUUCUGACUAAUUUGCCGGCUGUUUGAUGAUUGGACUACGUUAAAGCUAGAUCCGGUUACAAGAAAAAAUUGAUGACUAUCGGUACCAUUUGAUAUCAGUGAAGGUUUUAUCAACGUCGCAUCUACUGUGAGAGAGUUUCGGAUUAUCAAGUUGUCAAAUCGUUGUUAAUGAGAGUUAAUUAAUUGGAUAGAUACGAAAUGUGGUUGUUGAAAUGGCAAUAAUGGUAAAGAGAAUAACUUUAAUAUUCAGAGACUAUGCAAUUAUUAGUUUGAUGUAUCGUAAUUAUGUUCGCGAUGAAAAGAAAAAUUUAAUUGUAAACUGUGUUACUAUAUAUGGUUUAGUUAAGAAUAGCAUAAAUAUUAUUUAUAUGCAUAAUGAGUAAUAUAUUAAGUUUAAUUCCUGUAAUGAAUUUAUUGACUAUUAGAGGUAAAUAAAACUUUCAUAGCUCUUAGUAGUCGCAGUCCGGCACUACAUGGCACCCGGAGGGCGCGGGGCACCUAUGAAGGUUUUAUCCACGAAAAAAGGAAAAAAAAGCUCUUAGUAGUCGAAAAAAUAAAGUGUUGAUAGCCUGUAAAGUAUAUAUUUUACUAUUACCACAGUUUUCUUAGAUCCAUUUUAUAUACAUCACAUUUGUUCAAUACUUGAAGUUUUAUAAUGUUCUGAAAAAAUUCUAAAUUACUUACUAACGCUUCUAUUUCGUUAUGCAAAUUUUAUACUAAGUAAAAGGUUUUUUUAAAUAUAAAUCGAAAUAUUUUUAAGAAAUUCAAAAGUGAAAUUAAAUGGAUGUAUUGAUACUAUGGGCAGUUAGUUUCGUAUAAAACUCUAAACUAUUAAUAAAAAUAAAUUUCUAACAGCUAGAAGCAAUAAAUCGAUAACAAAAAAUUCCGAUAAUUAUUUAGAAAGCCGGUGUUCUCGAUUUCGAUGAUUUUUUAAUAUAUUAUAAAAAUCAACAGUUUUAACAACUUUUCUCUAUACUUGUUACCGCCGGACUCUCAGUUUUCGAGAUAUUCGUAAAAAAUGUUGGUAUCGCUGCAGUGAAUUUUGUCUAUAAUUACAUUUACGACAACGCAUGCAUCAGUAUUGAUUAUCGACCGCCAGCUUAACCCAAACCUAAUUUUUAUCUUUUGUUUAUAGCUCAUAUAAACGGAGAUUAAGCGAGGCGACAAACGUAUCGGCUAUGCUUGUGGCUAUAUCGUAGAUAGACACAUAUGGGCAGAAUUUAUUAUAGUGGUACCGGCAGUCUUUUUACUAAUAUUUUGAAAAUUAAGAGAAUGCGGCAGUAACGUGUAUCAGGAAAAUUUGUCAAAGAUGUCGAUUUUUACAAUAUAUUUAAAAAUCAUGGAAAUUGAGAACGCAUCGGCUUUUUACAUAAUUGCCCAGUUAAUGAUACCUUAACAAUGUAUUAAUUUAUGUAUGUAAAAAAAUAUUCACCCUUCGCUCUAUUCGCUCUUCUUCACAGAAUCUCGCCAUUGAACCUUUAAAGCCCAUAAAUCUAAAGUAAUUAUUUUCCUCUAUCUGCUCGGUAACAUCGUGUAACCUCUCUAGUUGAACGACUUACGAAAGCAAAUCUUCGUCAUGUGCUAUCUCGACUGACAUAAAAUGAGUGGCGCGGCAUUAACCCUGGCUGAAACUGCACGAGUAGCGUAUGCAAAAUAGAACAUUAGCAUGAUGUGCCAGAACACUACAUAUACUUUGCAUGGUCUGCUAUUCCUCUCAUAUCUGGAUUCUCUGUUUCUCGCUGCCAAUGCGUUACUGCAGUCUAGGGCAUUAUUAUACAACGACAUCAUUUCAGGGACAUCAGUUCCUUUGGUAACAGUGGGCUGUUAGCUCGUAAAUGUGCGUGUAAACACGCAUCGAGGAUUCUCGAUUUUCUGAGGAGUUCAUUUGAGGGGAAUGAGUAUUUGUCACACUCAUGGAAACUGGUUCACCGGUGGUUCACCAUGUCCUUUUGUUUCCGAUAUUUAGGUGCUUGUUACGUCACUUUCGAUAUCUUAUCCUGAGAGAAACUAGAAGAGGUGAAAAAUGGAGGGACACAGAGGGAAGC